rnacentral:snoRNA from 1 species
GUCGACAAUACUUCAGAGAAUCAUUUCUAUAGUAUUCGACCUUCUCUUGGUUCCCUAAAAGAGCCACAGAUCCCACCCUGGUUGAUGAAUGAAUAUCCUCGAUGCCCUAGAGUGAAUACCCUUUUUGGUCCUCUCGCCCUGUCCGCAAGGACGGCGGUAACUACCUAGCGUGGUUGCUGUAUAGAGAGAUGCUACUCUUGAUGAUCUCGGUCCUGAGUGCGGUCUUGCCUUUGGGCGCGCGCUUGGGACGGGCAUUGAUGGACGUCUGACAGGU